UAUAUAUAUAUAUAUAUAUAUAUAUAUAUACUCCACUUUUGAGCUUUGAGAGUUUUUCUGCUCGCAUUUGGCCUUGCAAGCUAUCAUACUUGUCUUUGCGGCGGGAUUCAUAGUGUCCCCGCAGAUUGUAUUCUUUGAAUACCGCUGCCGCCUCUUGACAUGAGACAGCCUUUUCUUUGCAUUGAACAAAAAAAUAAUCGUUUGUCCACUGCAGGUUAAAUGCCCUGCAUUCUGAAUCAAUUUUUCUCUAACCUAAUCUUUUCGCUAUUAUUCCGUUCUCUCUUUGAGAGGGGCGGGUUUAAGAUUUUUUUCUGGGGGUUGCCAGAUAGG